rnacentral:rRNA from 1 species
AUACGUAGGUGGCAAGCGUUGUCCGGAAUUAUUGGGCGUAAAGCGCGCGCAGGUGGGAUCUUAAGCCAUUUUUAAAGUUCGGAGCUCAACUCCGUGAUGGGAUGGAAACUGGGAUUCUUGAGUAUCGGAGAGGAAAGCGGAAUUCCCCGUGUAGCGGUGAAAUGCGUAGAUAGUGGGGAGGAACACCAGUGGCGAAGGCGGCUUUCUGGACGAUGUCUGACACUGAGGCGACGAAAGCUAGGGGAGC